rnacentral:snRNA from 1 species
CCUUUUACUAAAGAUUUCCGUGGAGAGGAACAACCACGAGUGUCGUGGAAUUUUUUGAGGCUCCGCUUCGACGGAGCU